CAUGUCUUUAUGAAAAUAAUUUAAAGUCAAAUCUGCUCCAUGAUUAAAUUAAAUAGCUGCAGUAUAUUAACUGUACAAAGGUAGCAUAAUCAAUAGUUUUUUAAUUAAAAGCUGGAAUGAACGAUUUAAUAAGGUAAAUGUUGUCUCAAUUUUAAUAAUAUUAAAAAUUUUUUUUUAGUAAAAAUACUAAAUUUAAUUUAAAAGACGAGAAGACCCUAUAGAUUUUUAUAAUUUUAAUUAAUAAAAUUAUAAUAAAAAAAUAAAUUUUAAUAAAAAAUUAUUUGAUUGGGGAAAUUAUUAAAUUUAAUUAAUUUUAAUUAUUUUUAAACAAUAAUUAUUGAAUAAUUGAUCUUAAUUAAAAAUUAAAAGAAUAAAUUACCUUAGGGAUAACAGCGUAAUUUUUUUGGAGAGAUCUUAUUGAUAAAAAAGUUUGCGACCUCGAUGUUGAAUUAAGAUAAAAUUUUAAUGAAGAAGUUAAAAAAUUUUGGUCUGUUCGACCAUUAAAAUCUUACGUG
rnacentral:rRNA from 1 species